GAGUAAAGUGGCGCACGGGUGAGUAACACGUGACUAAUCUACCCUCGAGUGGGGAAUAACCUAGGGAAACCUGGGCUAAUACCGCAUAACACUUACGAGUCAAAGCAGCAAUGCGCUUGGGGAGGAGGUCGCGGCAGAUUAGCUAGUUGGCGGGGUAAUGGCCCACCAAGGCGAUGAUCUGUAUCCGGCCUGAGAGGGCGCACGGACACACUGGAACUGAAACACGGUCCAGACUCCUACGGGAGGCAGCAGUGGGGAAUUUUGCGCAAUGGGGGAAACCCUGACGCAGCAACGCCGCGUGGAGGAUGAAGUCUCUUGGGACGUAAACUCCUUUCGAUAGGGAAGAUAAUGACGGUACCUAUAGAAGAAGCCCCGGCUAACUUCGUG
rnacentral:rRNA from 1 species